rnacentral:rRNA from 1 species
UACGAAGGGGGGCUAGCGUUGCUCGGAAUUACUGGGCGUAAAGCGCACGUAGGCGGCUUUCUAAGUCAGGGGUGAAAUCCUGGAGCUCAACUCCAGAACUGCCUUUGAUACUGAGGAUCUUGAGUUCGGGAGAGGUGAGUGGAACUGCGAGUGUAGAGGUGAAAUUCGUAGAUAUUCGCAAGAACACCAGUGGCGAAGGCGCUCACUGGCCCGAUACUGACGCUGAGGCACGAAAGCGUGGGGAGCAAACAGG